rnacentral:rRNA from 1 species
CCUACGGGUGGCUGCAGUGGGGAAUCUUGCGCAAUGGGCGAAAGCCUGACGCAGCGACGCCGCGUGAGCGAUGAAGGCCUUCGGGUUGUAAAGCUCUGUGGGGAGAGAAGAAUAAGGGUUGGCUAACAUCCAACCUGAUGACUGUAUCUCCUUAGCAAGCACCGGCUAACUCUGUGCCAGCAGCCGCGGUAAGACCGAGGGUGCAAACGUUGUUCGGAAUCACUGGGAGGAGGGUGGGUAUAUGCGAUGUGAAAGCCCACGGCUCAACCAGGGAAGUGCAUUCGAAACUGCCAGACUAGAGUCCUGGAGAGGAAGGCGGAAUACUCGGUGUAGAGGUGAAAUUCGUAGAUAUCGAGUGGAACACCGGUGGCGAAGGCGGCCUUCUGGACAGUGACUGACGCUGAAACGCGAAAGCGUGGGGAGCAAACAGGAUUAGAUACCCGUGUAGUC